CAAAUCAAAUCCCUAAUUCUUUUUAAUCGAUCAGAUUAAAAGAACAUGGAAUGAAUCAAAUCGGCAGAUGUUUCGCAAACCGCACUUCCGUCGUCGUUCUGCCUCUCCUCUACCUUCCUAAAGUAGAGGAAAUUAAGAGUCGUGUUAAUGUUUCAUUACGUCGGAGAAAUAGAUGAUGGUGGCGAGCGCCGGAGAAACGUCACGAACGGAGAUAAGCUCUUUCUCUCCCUAAAAAUGCGAAUGCCACUUUGGCUCGUCCUUUUCGACCAGAUCCAAGAACAGGAAAACAACCCUAAUCUGGCUGCUGGUGACGUCUCUCUCUCCUCUACAUUCGUUCACGCCUGUUUCUGGCCAUCAGGUGCUUGCUCAGGACGUCAACGCCCAUGGACGUCUCUGCCCACCGGAAACGAAGAUGAUGACUGCUUUCCUUCAGAGACAGGGAAGGAGUUGCGACCACGAAGGAAGCACGUGGGUGGUGAAGCAGCAGCAGCGUCUAUGGCGGCCCUGCGUGGGCCACAGCCCCGUGAGGGAGGAGAUGGGGAUGGGAAUAUGCCGUAGGGCUUCUUCGCCAAAAGAGGAAGCCUGAGAGGAUAAGGAAGCCAACGCGACGCACGCAGGGCGUUCCACUACGCUACAACAGUGUACGUCGGUGCUGAUGUAAUUAUUGGAUUUGUGUUUCAUCCCCCUUUUUCUUAAUUAAUUUAUAAUGAUUUAUCUAUCUAACCUAA